rnacentral:tRNA from 1 species
AGGAUUAUAGUUUAAACAAAAACAUUUGAUUUGCAUUCAAAAAAUAUUAUAAAUUAAUUUAUCUUA